rnacentral:rRNA from 1 species
AAGUUUUUUAGAGGCGUACAGUGAAUGCCUUGGCUCUUAUAGACGACGAAAGACGUGACUACCUGCGAUAAGCUUCGGGGAGCUGGAAGUGAGCUUUGAUCCGAAGAUCUCUGAAUGGGGAAACCCGGCAUGAGUUAUUUCAUGUCACCGAGCGAUUUCAUCGUUCGGGGGAAUACGGAGGGAAUUGAAACAUCUUAGUACCUCCAGGAAAAGAAAGAUAGCAUCGAUUCCGUCAGUAGCGGCGAGCGAAAGCGGAACAGCCCAAACCACCUUGAGUGGGGUUCGGACCACGAUAUGAUAUACAUUUCAUCCAUUCGAAAGGCCUGGGAAGGCCUGCCAUAGAAGGUGAUAGCCCUGUAGGAAUACGAUGGAAUGAAUCUAGUGGUAUCCAAAGUACGACGGGUCAAAUAUCCUGUCGGAAUGUGUGUCGACCAUGACAUAAGGCUAAAUACUAAUAAGAGACCGAUAGUGUACCAGUACCGUGAGGGAAAGGUGAAAAGAACCCCGGGAGGGGAGUGAAAAGAUUCUGAAACUGUAUGCUUACAAUAAGUCAAAGGGCGUUAAAGCCUGAUGACGUGCCUAUUGAAGAAUGAGCCGGCGAGUCACGUUUACAUGCAAGGUUAAGCUGAAGAAGCGGAGCCGUAGCGAAAGCAAGUCUGAAUAGGGCGUUUAGUAUGUGAGCGUGGACCCGAAGCCCGACGAUCUAUCCAUGAGCAGGUUGAAAGAGGGGUAACACCCUCCGGAGGACCGAACCGACGUUCGUUGCAAUGACCGCGGAUGACUUGUGGAUAGUGGAGAAAUUCCAAUCGAGUUGGGGGAUAGCUGGUUCUCCCCGAAAUAACUUUACGGCUAGCCUUUGUAGUUCCCUUGUGGGGGUAAAGCACUGAAUGCCUGAUGGGCGCCUUGGGCGCUACUGAACGCAAUCAAACUCUGAAUCCCAUAAGGCCUGAUACAAGGAGUCAGACUGCGAGCGAUAAGGUCCGUGGUCAAAAGGGAAACAGCCCAGAUCGCCAAAUAAGGUCCCAAAAUCUACGCUAAGUGUAAAAGGAAGUGGAGAUACUUAAACAACUAGGAUGUUGACUCAGAAGCAGCCAUCAUUCAAAGAGUGCGUAACAGCUCACUAGUCGAGUGCCUCUGCACCGAGGAUUUAUCGGGGCUAAGCGUAGUACCGAAUUUGCGAAUUUGAUAGUUAAUUCUACCAAGUGGUAGGGGAGCGUUCUGUAUGGGGUGAAGAUACACCGUGAGGAGUGUUGGACCGUACAGAAGUGAGUAUGCCGGUGUUAGUAACGAUAUGGGGUGAGAAUCCCCAUCACCAUUAGACUAAGGUUUCCUGGGGAAGGGUCGUCCUCCCAGGGUUAGGCGGGUCCUAAGUCGAGGCCGACAGGCGUAGACGAUGGAUAACUGGUUGAUAUUCCAGUCCCCGCAUGCAUGCGAUGUAGUGACAGAUUUGGAUAGCGAUACCCCUUAUUGGAUUGGGGGCUAAGGAUUCAGGCUGGCCAGUAGGCAAAUCCGCUGGUCAAUGUGAGGAUCCGAAUGCGAGUGAACGGUUCGCCUAGUAGCGAAGUUCGUCAUGCCAGGUCUCGAGAAAAACUGCUAGCUUAAGUGCAUGUGGCCCGUACCGAGAACGAACACACGUGGUCAAGGAGAGUAUCCUAAGGUGAGCGAGCGAACUGUUGUUAAGGAACUCUGCAAAAUUACUCCGUAACUUCGGAAGAAGGAGUGCCUUCGCGAGAAGGCCGCAGUGAAGAGGCCCAAGUAACUGUUUAUCAAAAACACAGCUCUAUGCUAAGCCGCAAGGCGAUGUAUAUGGGGUGAUGCCUGCCCAGUGCUGGAAGGUUAAGAGGUGGUGUUAGCCGCAAGGCAAAGCGCUUAAUCGAAGCCCCAGUGAACGGCGGCCGUAACUAUAACGGUCCUAAGGUAGCGAAAUUCCUUGUCGGGCAAGUUCCGACGCGCAUGAAUGGUAUAAUAAUUUGGGCGCUGUCUCGACAGCAGACUCGGUGAAAUCUUAUUACCUGUGAAGAUGCAGGUUACCCGCGACUAGACGGACUGUAACUUAAUAUUGAGCGUCUGUUUUUCAUUCGCAGCAUAGGUGCCAGACUUUGAAGCCAGGGCUUUGGCCUUGGUGGAGUCGCCAAUGAGAUAGCACUAUUGGAGGAUGGCCGUUCUAACGUAUGAUCUUACGAGUCAGCGGACAGUGUUAGGCGGGCAGUUUGACUGGGGCGGUCGCCUCCCAAACAGUAACGGAGGCGCCCAAAGGUCCGUUCAGCAUGGUUGGAAAUCAUGCGUCGAGUGCAUUGGUACAAACGGGCUUGACUGUGAGACUUACAAGUCGAACAGGGACGAAAGUCGGGCAAAGUGAUCUUGCGGUUUUAUAUGGAAGAGCCGUAACUUAACGGAUAAAAGCUACCCUGGGGAUAACAGGCUGAUCUAGUCCAAGAGUUCACAUCGACGACUGGGUUUGGCACCUCGAUGUCGGCUCAUCACAUCCUGGAGGGGAAGUACCUUCCAAGGGUUUGGCUGUUCGCCAAUUAAAGUGGUACGCGAGCUGGGUUCA